rnacentral:rRNA from 1 species
CCUGAUGCAGCAACGCCGCGUGAGGGAUGACGGCCUUCGGGUUGUAAACCUCUUUUAGCAAGGAAGAAGCGAAAGUGACGGUACUUGCAGAAAAAGCGCCGGCUAACUACGUGCCAGCAGCCGCGGUAAUACGUAGGGCGCAAGCGUUAUCCGGAAUUAUUGGGCGUAAAGAGCUCGUAGGCGGUUUGUCGCGUCUGCUGUGAAAUCCCGAGGCUCAACCUCGGGCCUGCAGUGGGUACGGGCAGACUAGAGUGCGGUAGGGGAGAUUGGAAUUCCUGGUGUAGCGGUGGAAUGCGCAGAUAUCAGGAGGAACACCGAUGGCGAAGGCAGAUCUCUGGGCCGUAACUGACGCUGAGGAGCGAAAGGGUGGGGAGCAAACAGGCUUAGAUACCCUGGUAGUCCACCCCGUAAACGUUGGGAACUAGUUGUGGGGUCCUUUCCACGGAUUCCGUGACGCAGCUAACGCAUUAAGUUCCCCGCCUGGGGAGUACGGCCGCAAGGCUAAAACUCAAAGGAAUUGACGGGGACCCGCACAAGCGGCGGAGCAUGCGGAUUAAUUCGAUGCAACGCGAAGAACCUUACCAAGGCUUGACAUACACGAGAACACUCUAGAAAUAGGGGACUCUUUGGACACUCG